AAUAUUGGGCAAUGGACGGAAGUCUGACCCAGCCAUGCCGCGUGAAGGAUUAAGGCGUUCCGCGUUGUAAACUUCUUUUAUCAGGGAAGAAACCCCGGCGUUCCCGUCGGGUUGACGGUACCUGAGGAAUAAGCACCGGCUAACUCCGUGCCAGCAGCCGCGGUAAUACGGAGGGUGCAAGCGUUAUCCGGAUUUACUGGGUUUAAAGGGUGUGUAGGCGGCUUUUUAAGUCAGUGGUGAAAUCCCGGGGCUCAACCCCGGAACUGCCGUUGAUACUAUUGAGCUUGAAUUAUGUUGAGGUUGGCGGAAUAUAACAUGUAGCGGUGAAAUGCAUAGAUAUGUUAUAGAACACCGAUUGCGAAGGCAGCUGACUGAGCAUAUAUUGACGCUGAUGCACGAAAGCGUGGGGAUCAAACAG
rnacentral:rRNA from 1 species